rnacentral:rRNA from 1 species
UAGGGAAUAUUGGGCAAUGGAGGAAACUCUGACCCAGCCAUGCCGCGUGCAGGAUGACGGCCCUCUGGGUUGUAAACUGCUUUUAUACGGGAAGAAAAAAUACUACGUGUAGUAUACUGACGGUACCGUAAGAAUAAGGAUCGGCUAACUCCGUGCCAGCAGCCGCGGUAAUACGGAGGAUCCAAGCGUUGUCCGGAUUUAUUGGGUUUAAAGGGUGCGUAGGCGGAUCUUUAAGUCAGUGGUGAAAGCCUGCAGCUUAACUGUAGAACAGCCAUUGAAACUGAAGAUCUUGAAUAUGGUUAAAGUAGGCGGAAUGUAUCAUGUAGCGGUGAAAUGCUUAGAUAUGAUACAGAACACCGAUAGCGAAGGCAGCUUGCUGAACCAUUAUUGACGCUGAGGCACGAAAGCGUGGGGAGCGAACAGG